rnacentral:rRNA from 1 species
UACGAAGGGUGCAAGCGUUACUCGGAAUUACUGGGCGUAAAGCGUGCGUAGGCGGUUUGUUAAGUCCGCUGUGAAAGCCCUGGGCUCAACCUGGGAAUUGCAGUGGAUACUGGCAAGCUAGAGUGCGGUAGAGGAUGGUGGAAUUCCCGGUGUAGCGGUGAAAUGCGUAGAGAUCAGGAGGAACACCGAUGGCGAAGGCAGCACUCUGGCCGAAGACUGACGCUGAAGCGCGAAAGCUGGGGGAGCGAACGGG